rnacentral:rRNA from 1 species
AACGAACGCUGGCGGCGCGCCUAAUACAUGCAAGUCGAGCGAGAAGACGUAGCAAUACGUUUGUAAAGCGGCGAACGGGUGAGGAAUACAUGGGUAACCUACCCUCGAGUGGGGAAUAACUAGCCGAAAGGUUAGCUAAUACCGCGUACGCUCCUUGGACUUCGGUUCAGGGAGGAAAGCGAUACCGUGGGUAUCGCGCUCUUGGAUGGGCUCAUGUCCUAUCAGCUUGUUGGUGAGGUAACGGCUCACCAAGGCUUCGACGGGUAGCUGGUCUGAGAGGACGAUCAGCCACACUGGCACUGCGACACGGGCCAGACUCCUACGGGAGGCAGCAGUGAGGAAUAUUGCGCAAUGGGCGAAAGCCUGACGCAGCGACGCCGCGUGGGGGGAUGAAGGUCUUCGGAUUGUAAACCCCUUUCGGGAGGGAAGAUGGGACGAGCAAUCGUUCGGACGGUACCUCCAGAAGCAGCCACGGCUAACUUCGUGCC